rnacentral:rRNA from 1 species
AACGAACGCUGGCGGCAUGCCUAACACAUGCAAGUCGAACGAACCCUUCGGGGUUAGUGGCGCACGGGUGCGUAACGCGUGGGAAUCUGCCCUUGGCUUCGGAAUAACAGUUAGAAAUGACUGCUAAUACCGGAUGAUGUCUUCGGACCAAAGAUUUAUCGGCCAGGGAUGAGCCCGCGUAGGAUUAGGUAGUUGGUGGGGUAAUGGCCUACCAAGCCGACGAUCCUUAGCUGGUCUGAGAGGAUGAUCAGCCACACUGGGACUGAGACACGGCCCAGACUCCUACGGGAGGCAGCAGUGGGGAAUAUUGGACAAUGGGCGCAAGCCUGAUCCAGCAAUGCCGCGUGAGUGAUGAAGGCCUUAGGGCCGUAAAGCUCUUUUACCCGGGAUGAUAAUGACAGUACCGGGAGAAUAAGCUCCGGCUAACUCCGUGCCAGCCGCCGCGGUAA